GGUCCGAACCCACGAGCGUUGAAAAGCUCGGGGAUGACUUGUGGGUAGCGGUGAAAUUCCAAUCGAGCCCGGAGAUAGCUGGUUCUCCCCGAAAUAGCUUUAGGGCUAGCCUCAAGGUGAGAGAUACGGAGGUAGAGCACUGAAUGUCCUAGGGGGUAUUGCACCUACCGAAGACUAUCAAACUCCGAAUGCCGUCAUCUUAUACUUGGGAGUCAGACUGUGGGUGAUAAGAUUCAUAGUCGAAAGGGCAACAGCCCAGAUCGUCAGCUAAGGUCCCUAAAUGUAAGUUAAGUGGUAAAGGAUGUGGGAUUGCACAGACAACCAGGAUGUUGGCUUAGAAGCAGCCACUCAUUCAAAGAGUGCGUAAUAGCUCACUGGUCGAGUGAUCCUGCGCCGAAGAUUUCCGGGGCUAAAACUUACUACCGAAGCUACGGCAUCAGUAAUGAUGGGUAGGGGAGCUUCCCAUACGGGUUGAAGCAUGACCGUAAGGACAUGUGGACAGUAUGGGAGUGAGAAUGUUGGCAUGAGUAGCGAGAUGUGGGUGAGAAUCCCACAGGCCGUAAACCCAAGGUUUCCAGGGGAAGGUUCGUCCGCCCUGGGGUAGUCGGGACCUAAGCUGAGGCCGAAAGGCGUAGGUGAUGGACAACAGGUUGAUAUUCCUGUACUACCGAUAACCGUUUGAGAGAUGGGAUGACACAGUAGGAUAAGCUAAGCACACUGUUGGUUAUGUGUGCCCAAGCAUUGAGGCAGUCAAAGUAGGCAAGUCGGAUGUGAUAAAGUGGGGAUGUGAGGGGGAGGGAAAUUUGGAAGCGAA
rnacentral:rRNA from 1 species